rnacentral:rRNA from 1 species
GGGUCAUGGACGAAAGUCUGACGGAGCAACGCCGCGUGAGCGAUGAAGGCCUUCGGGUCGUAAAGCUCUGUUGUUAGGGAAGAACAAGUGUGAGUUGAAUAAGCUCAUGCCUUGACGGUACCUAACCAGAAAGCCACGGCUAACUACGUGCCAGCAGCCGCGGUAAUA